rnacentral:rRNA from 1 species
GACGGGGGAGGCAAGCGUUGUCCGGAUUCAUUGGGCGUAAAGAGCUCGUAGGCGGCUUGGCAAGUCAGAUGUGAAACCCUCAGGCUUAACCUGGGGCCGCCAUCUGAUACUGCUAUGGCUAGAGUCCGGUAGGGGAUCGUGGAAUUCCUGGAGUAGCGGUGAAAUGCACAGAUCUCAGGAGGAACACCAGUGGCGAAGGCGGCGAUCUGGGCCGGUACUGACGCUGAGGAGCGAAAGCGUGGGGAGCAAACAGG